CGCGAUGGGCCAUUAAAAUUCCCCAAAAACA
rnacentral:tRNA from 1 species